GGGCUCGAACCCGCGGAGCACAGCUCCCGCCUCCCGCGCAGGCGAUCACGUGGCGGGUCACGCGGUCUCACCCGGAAGCGCGCCCGGGUGCUAGCGCCGGCUGGGCCGUGGGGGCUGCUAUCCGCAUUUGCAGGACUGAGAAUGCUGUGUUGUUGUUCCAUGAGCUGGUCAUCGAGUCUACCUACCACUACCACUUCUGAGCCUCUGGCUGCCUGGAAGCUCCACUGCUACUUACAAAGAUGAAGUGUGUCUUGGUGGCCACUGAGGGUGCAGAGGUUCUCUUCUACUGGACAGAUGAAGAGUUUAAAGAAAGUCUCCGACUGAAGUUCGGGCAAUCAGAGAAUGAGGAAGAAGAGCUUCCUGCCCUGGAAGACCAGCUCAGCACCCUCUUGGCCCCAGUCAUCAUCUCCUCCAUGACGAUGUUGGAGAAACUCUCAGACACAUACACAUGCUUCUCAACAGAAAAUGACAACUCCCUGUAUGUCCUUCACCUGUUUGGAGAAUGCCUAUUCAUCGCCAUCAAUGGGGACCACUCUGAGAACGAGGGAGAUCUUCGGCGGAAGCUCUGUGUGCUCAAGUACCUGUUCGAGGUGCACUUUGGACUGGUUACUAUGGAUGGCCAGCUCAUCCGAAAGGAGUUACGGCCUCCUGACCUGGAGCAGCGCGUCCAGGUGUGGGAGCACUUCCAGAGCCUACUGUGGACCUAUAGCCGCCUACGGGAGCAGGAGCAGAGCUUCGCUGUGGAGGCUGUGGAGCGGCUGAUUCACCCCCAGCUCUGUGAGCUGAGCAUAGAGGCGCUGGAGCGGCAUGUCAUCCAGGCUGUCAACUCCAGCCCUGAGCGGGGCAGUGAGGAGGCCCUGCACGCGUUCCUGCUCGUUCACUGCAAGCUGCUGGCCUUCUACUCCAGCCAUGGUGCAAGUUCCCUGCGCCCAGCCGACCUUCUCGCCCUCAUCCUCCUGGUUCAGGAUCUCCACCCAAGUGAGAGCACAGUAGAGGACGACGAUGAUGGCCAGCCUUCCCCAGGGAGGAGGCCCCACAGAAGCCAGAACAUCCCUGUGCAGCAGGCCCGGAGCCCACGUGUCUCGGGCCCAACCAAGGGGAGUUCAGCAGAGACGGAUACAGACAGCUUCUCUCUCCCUGAAGAGUACUUCACACCAGCUCCUUCCCCUGGCCAGCAGAGCUCAGGUAGCACCAUCUGGCUAGAAGGGGGCACCCCACCAACUGAUGUUCCCCAGAUAGCUGAGGACACCCUCCAGACAAAGGUUCCUCACUCCCCAGUGCCUUCCAGCCCCAGAAGAAUCUUCCUGGAUGCCAGUAUAAAAGAAAUUUAUUGCCCUUUGGUGCCCCACACCAUGUACUGCCUACCUCUGUGGCCGGGCAUCAACAUGGUGCUCCUGACCAAGAGCCCCAGCACCCCACUGGCCUUGGUCCUGUACCAGCUGCUGGAUGGUCUUUCCCUGGUGGAGAAGAAGCUGAAGGAGGGCCAGGAGGCUGGCAGUGGCCUGCGGUCCCAGCCCCUCCUGGGAGAACUGCGCCAGAGAAUGGACAAGUUCAUCAAGAAUCGAGGGGGACAGGAGAUUCAGAGCACCUGGCUGGAGUUUAAGACCAAGGCCUUCUCCAAAAGCGAACCGGGAUCAUCCUGGGAGCUGCUCCAGGUGUGUGGGAAGCUGAAGCGGCAGCUCUGCUCCAUCUACCGGCUCAGCUUCCUGACCACAGCGCCCAGCAGGGGAGGCCCACACCUGCCCCAGCACCUGCAGGACAAAGUUCAGAAGCUUAUGCGGGAGAGGCUGAUGGACUGGAAGGACUUUCUGUUGGUGAAGAGCAGGAGGAACAUCACCAUGGUGUCCUACCUGGAGGACUUCCCAGGCUUGGUGCAUUUCAUCUACGUGGACCGAACAACUGGGCAGAUGGUGGCACCUUCCCUUAGCAGCAGUGAAAAGACUUCAUCAGAAUUGGGCAAGGGGCCCCUGGCCGCCUUCGUCAAAGCCAAGGUCUGGGCCCUGGUCCGGCUGGCGCGCCGAUACCUGCAGAAGGGCUACACUACUCUGCUGUUCCACGAGGGGGACUUCUGCUGCUCCUACUUCCUGUGGUUUGAGAACGAUAUGGUGGGUGUGCCAGGGCCCUGGCAGGAAAGUCCUGAAGUGCUGUCCAUUGCUGUCACCCUCGGAUUCCUUUCUUCUGAACUGUGUUCAGUCUAUCUGUCCCUCAUCUCUUCUUGUCCCUGGUGGAAUGACAGGUAAGUAUAGCGAUGGGGUCCCAGAACCAUGGUCACAUUGUCACGCCAGCAUUUAAGUUUGCUUUGUGAUCACCUACUGCCCGGCCAACUUGUGCCAUUGCUCAGGCAGCGUCCUGAUGAACACACGAAGAGAUAGACUCCGGGUGCCCCUGAGAUGGGCCCUCGGAUCACAGCUGGUACCUCUGUAGUGCUUCACAUUCUCGCUUCUGUGUAAAGUGGGGUGUGCCAUCACUCCCAUUUGGUAGGUGGAGGUUCAAAGGGGUUAACAGCCUGCCUGAGGCGAAGCUGCCACAGCUGGCGUGGGUCAGACUCUGCUGUCCACAGCGCCUCUCUGUCCUUUCCUUUCCCUCUCUUUCUCUUAAUGUUUUCUCCUUUCUUGUCACUUGGCAUCAUUAUUCCAGGACCAAGGAUCGUCCCCUCCACCCCACAGCCCCUUGGUUUCUUGUCCUCAUGCUCCAGUCUCCUUCCUGCUCUAGGUUGCCCACCCACCCCUUCCGUAACUCAGUGUACUUUGGGGGCCUCCACCCCUGUUCCCUCCUUCAACCCUCACAGCCCCAUGCAGUGGGUGGGGCAAGCUUCCUUGACCUCAUUGUGUGAUGCUCAUGCUUCAGGGAUCAAAAGCCAUGGCCAAGGCCAUCGAGGCCUCAGUGAUGAAGCCAGAACCAGAAGCUACUCUCACAACCUGCAGCCUCUCAGCUUAGCUCUCUGCCUCAGGAGUGCUGGGGGGCUCCUUGACCUUUACCUGAGCUUCGAGAGAGACAAGGAAGCGUGUGCUGAGGGGGCCUCAGGAGUGGUAGAAAGCAGCAGAGCUGUGGGGUGGGAGGCCCAGGUCAGGCCACUGGCCACAGCACCCACCUGGGCAGAGUGGACAGUCCCUUAACACUUCUGGGCCCGAUUCCUCACCACAGGGUAGGCCUCUGAUGCCAGGUGAGCAUCACGUGAGGGCUGCUGUAAGAGCACAUGGUGGUGCCUCGCUUGCUGUCCGUGUCUAGGGAUCCCAGUUUCCUACCUCAUCCUAGCAUGGAAUUCCUAGUUCCUUCAAAGCAGAGACUUGAGCCUCUUAAGAGCCUCGAAACCCUGGCCAACACCCCCGCCCCCCACCUUGCCCUCCCUCUGCCUGCUGGGCCCUGCUGGUCCAGGUGUCACACUGAGAACUCCACGAACAUUCUCUCCGAGGUUCAUGAGGGAUGUUCCCGCCUCACAGGGCAGGAAACCAGGUAGAGAGGGCUACAAGCUGCAGAUGAUUGAGGUGCCUGUCCUCUCCGAUGACUCAGUCCCCAUUGGUGUGCUGGGAGGUGACUACUACAG